rnacentral:lncRNA from 1 species
CUUGGGUAGCCCAACCCAUCCUUCCGGCCGGGUCAUCCCACCUACCGGUACCCCCAAGUCUCGCCCGGGAGGGGCCUGGGUUCCGGGGGGGGCCCCCCCCCUUAACCCUUGCUUUACCGGCCCGUUCAGGCCCCGCCCCGGGCCGCCAGCGGGCAGGAAGUUUUUUUUAAUUAUAAUUCACCGGAACAGGUGGGGGGAGAGCCGGGGCACAUCAGGGCAAGCCGGGGGGGGGGGGGGGGGGGUAGGGGGACGCCUUCUGCUUCUGCUUCGCGGUGUCCGGGUGGCCGCCGACAGGGGUUUGUCCUUUGACAUCAAAGUGAGGAGCCCAGCCGCGGCUUCCCAGUGCCCGCCUCUCGCCAACACCUGGCUCCGGGCAUCCUGCUCUGCUCUCAUCCUCUCUCCCCGGGCAGCCCCUCCAGCAGCCUAGCCUCGGGCCAACCUCCCCGCUGCCCAGCAGGCGUGGACCCACCGCCCACUCCGCGUGCGCAGCCUCCCACGAUCUCCUUCCCCAGCCCUGAACUUGUCUGUGGCCCCCAUGCCGCAGCCGUCCCCUCGCUCAGCCUCAGUGCUGUCAUCCGGAAAACGGGCGGAUGGCUAGUGUCCGCCCAGCGAGGCGGCGAGCGGGCCCGCCGGGGCGCAGGGCGCCACCUGGAGGCGACGACGCGCCCUCUUCUCGCUUGCAGGGUCGGCCCGGCCCCACAGGGGGCGCAGCAUCUCACACAACGGAGGGACCAAAAAAGGAAAAAAAAAAAAAAAACCAUCUUUCGAUUUAUUGAAGGAGAAGGGCAAGGGGUGGGGAGGGAAUGAAACGCUUCUGCUUCGUUUAUAAAGAGCGAGUUUUCGGGAGGCCUCUUCUGAAAGGGGGGGGCACCUCUUCCCCAACUACAAGCAGCAGCAAAAGCCAAGCCAAGGAGGGCCGAGGGACACAGGGAGCCACAAGCUUUCUCCCCCCACCCACAAUGCAUCUACCCCAGGGGACCCAUCUGGGCGAGGGAAGGGGGUAUGUACACAGGUGGGGUGGCCCCGGACUGGGCGAGGGAGGGAAUAAGUUAUCCGCAGCGGCGGUGGGCGGGCGGGGACAGUCUCUUGGAGGCAGCGGCGGCCUAGGGGUCCCGUUCUUUCUUGACCUUGAUGUCUCCAGCAAGGAUGGUGGCGAUCUCGCCCUGCAUGAAGGCCCAGGGCACGGAGGAGCCCACCAGCGGGCACUUGUCUCCACUCGGGCAGUACACCUCGCCCGCCGGGCCUUGCGCCUUGAUGAACUCCCGCGAGCAGGGGAAGCAGAACUUGUGUCCGGGCACCGAGGGGCACUGGACGAAGUGGGUGUCUUCCAGCCGCUCCCGGCACAGGGUACAGCACAGCGGGGCCCCGGGGGUCGCCCCGGUGCCGCCGCCGCCGCCCCCACUGACAGCUUCGGCCCCGGCUGUGGGGCUGACUUCUGCCUCCCCGUUCCGGGCCACCAGGCGAUGCUGGACAGGGGGCGCAGCGGCGGACGAGGCUGCGGGGCUGGCGCCUCCUGCCCGCACCGGGCCCCCGCCGCCGCCAGGGUCCUUGGGCGAGUGGCCGAGGGCCUCCGCCACGUUCUUCAAGGCGGCGAUGGGAGAGGGCACGCCGGGGGCCUCGGCGGAGUAGGGGCCGCCGGGGGCCACCCAGUGCCGCUGCUGCUGCUCCUCGGUGCUCAUCUUCCCGGCCGCCUCGCCUUCGGCUUCGGGGGACGCCUUGCCCCCGGCGCGGCGGGGGGCGCCAGGGUUUCCGCGACGGGGGCCUCGCGGGGGGCGGGACCGCCACAGUGCCCGCGGGGGGCCGGGUUCCGGGGUACUGACUGGGGGAGCGCCUU